AUUCACAGCUAGUUUCGCUACCAAAACAACAUGAGUUUUGUUUAAAAAAAAAUAAAAUCAAAUUUGUUAAAUAAUAUUUAUGACGAGGCUACAGUACAUUAGACGACAAAAAAAAACUUCAAGACUAACAUCAGAUACGAGUCAUUCAAUCAGUUGUCAGAAUAUGGACUUCCAACAUCAUUCAGAUCAUCUCGAUAUAAAAAAAUGGAAAAUAGAAACAGUAAUGCGAUUCAUGUGGUAGUUGAAGAAUUAUUCAACAAACAAAUUGAAAUUUACAAUAAUAAUUAUGAAUUGCCUUGUGUAAAUACGUUAUUUACUGAAGAUGCUUGGCAAAUUGACGAAUUACAGAAAAUAAAAGAAGGACUAAACAGCGUAAAAAAUCAAUUGAAUGAUAUUAACAUCAUAAAUUGGAGACUUCAUACAAAGAAGAGAAAUUUUGCUGAAGAUAUUAAGUGGCGAUUACGUAAAGAAAUUAACCCUGAAUUUAUAACUCAAGCUUGGUGUAAAUUUUAUGAGCUGGUUUCUUCCUUUCCAUUGAUACCAGAAGAGAUAGGAAGUAAUAAAAAAAUAAAAACUAUUCAUUUGUGUGAAGCUCCAGGAGCUUUUAUAGCUUCAUUGAAUCAUUGGUUAAAACUUAAUAAACCAUCAAUUGACUGGGAUUGGACUGCGACAACUUUAAAUCCUUAUUAUGAAGGAAACUCCUUAUUUUGUAUGUUAAAUGAUGAUCGUUUCAUUAUGCAUACAUUGAAUCAUUGGUACUUUGGUAUUGAUAAUACAGGAAAUCUUAUGAAUGAAAUGAAUCUGCAUGGUUUUAUUGAUCAUGAGAAAAAAAAUCUGAAUGAAAUUAUGCUUAUCACAGCAGAUGGUAGCAUAGAUUGCAUUGAUGUUCCUGAUAAACAAGAAAUGUGUGUAUUUCAAUUACAUUUUUGUGAAACAAUUACAGCACUGAAUUUGCUCAGUACAGAUGGUAAUUUCCUUAUCAAAAUAUUUACAGUUUUUGAAUAUAAAACUAUUUGUUUAAUUUAUUUAUUAUCAUGUUGUUUUAAUCGUAUUAUUUUUAAAAAACCUGCAACAAGUAAAGCUGGAAACUCUGAAGUUUAUGUUAUUUGUUUAAAGUUUAAAGGGUUCAAAUAUGUUGAACAACACUUAAAAGUGUUUCAAAGAUAUUUCGAAAACGACACAGACUUAGCUAUGUUUAGGAAAUGUGAUAUUCCACAAUCAUUUAUUAACCAAAUCAUAAAAGUUGGAGAAUAUUUUAAAUUUCAUCAAAGUAAAGUUAUAUUGGAAAAUAUACGGACUUUUAACUGCGCUAAUGAUGAAUUCUAUCAUGUUAAAAAAAUACGACGAGCUGUUGCUGAUUACUAUUUUGCAGCUUACAAACUUGAAAAAUUGCCAAUUGAUAGUAUGAAAGUCGUCAACAGUGAUAAAUUAAAUGAACCUUAUUAUCAAAGCUUAUGCAAUAAAUCCAGCCGUAAUUCUUAUAACGAAAGACGGAAAAGAGAUGAAAUGCAACCAGUGGAACGAUUGAUAAAUAUCAUUGCUGAGUUUAAUUCAUCUCCAAUGACAGAUUAUGUUUAUUAUUUACAAUAUCCGAACGCCUUUGAAGAUCUUCAGUUUAUUGUCGGUGCUCCAUACAAAGAAAUACAAAGCUCUAAAUUCAGUGAAUUACAUUUGCUUAAAACUUAUAGUGCAAUAACGAAACUUAAGAAUGAAAUUGGUUUAAAGUUGCAAUAUCCAGCUGAAGAAGCAAUCACUAAUUUUAAAUUAGAAAAUAAAGAUGCCAAAAUUUUAUCUUUCUAUUAUGAAUACGUAAUCGAUAACACAAAUCUGACAACACAAAUAUACGAAAUGAUUAGGACAUUCAAUGGCAAAGAGACUUUGAUUCUUAUUGGAUUGUCACUAUUUUCUCAGCUUAAUGUUGGACUUGUCUAUACCUUAGCUCAUGCUUUUGAAUAUGUCAAAGUAGAAAUGACUGAAGAGUUAGGACGUACUAUAACAUUUUCUGGUUAUAUUGUCGAAAAAAAUAUCAUCAAAUAUUUGAAAAAUAUUGCAGAAGUAUCAGUUGAUGCAGAGCAUCAAAAUAAUAUGGUAUUAUCAAUUGUGCCAAUUACCAAAUUAUACGAAGACACAAUGUAUCGCAUUAUUGUGGAGACGAAUCACUUAACUAUAAAACAUUUUGCCCAAUAUAUUGGCAAAAUGAUUAAUAACUCAUAAAAAAAUUAAUAUUAAACAAUAAAAUUAUAUUUAUGAUUGGUAGUUUUAGUCGUGAUAGGAUUUUAGAAUAAAAUUUUAUUAUGAAGAUUCCAAAAAUAUUAAAAAGUAUACGAUAUUUUUCUGAUCGAGUGAUUAUCCCACGUGUGUGUAUUGUUGGUGCUGGACCAGCAGGCUUUUAUGCUGCUCAACAAUUAAUCAAG
rnacentral:misc_RNA from 1 species